CCUACUGCUAUCGGGGGAGGACUAAAACAUGCAAGUCGUGCGCCUCCAAGCCAUGGUGGAGACGCGGCAUACGGCUCAGUAACACGUGGCUAACCCACCCUUGAGACGGAGAAAACCCCGGGAAACUGGGGUUAAUCCCCGAUAAGAGAAGACACCUGGAACGGGUCUCCUUCCAAAGGGCGCCCAGACCAUGCUUUUGGGCGUUGCUCAAGGACGGGGCCGCGGCCGAUCAGGUUGUUGGUGAGGCAAAGGCUCACCAAGCCUAUAACCGGUACGGGCCGUGAGAGCGGGAGCCCGGAGAUGGGCACUGAGACAAGGGCCCAGGCCCUACGGGGCGCAGCAGUUGCGAAAACUCCGCAAUGCACGAAAGUGUGACGGGGCUACCCCGAGUGCCGUCCGCUGAGGGCGGCUUUUCCCCGGUGUAAGGAGCCGGGGGAAUAAGGAGAGGGCAAGUCUGGUGUCAGCCGCCGCGGUAAUACCAGCUCUCCGAGUGGUAGGGAUAAUUAUUGGGCUUAAAGCGUCCGUAGCCGGCCUGACAAGUCUUCCGUUAAAUCCAACGAUUCAAUCGUUGGACUGCGGGAGAUACUGUUAGGCUAGGGGACGGUAGAGGCCGACGGUAUUCUCGGGGUAGGGGUAAAAUCCUAUAAUCCCGGGAAGACCACCAGUGGCGAAGGCGGUCGGCUAGAACGCGCUCGACGGUG
rnacentral:rRNA from 1 species